rnacentral:rRNA from 1 species
GGGAUAACUACUGGAAACGGUAGCUAAUACCGCAUAACGUCGCAAGACCAAAGAGGGGGACCUUCGGGCCUCUUGCCAUCGGAUGUGCCCAGAUGGGAUUAGCUUGUUGGUGGGGUAACGGCUCACCAAGGCGACGAUCCCUAGCUGGUCUGAGAGGAUGACCAGCCACACUGGAACUGAGACACGGUCCAGACUCCUACGGGAGGCAGCAGUGGGGAAUAUUGCACAAUGGGCGCAAGCCUGAUGCAGCCAUGC